AGGACGAACGCUGGCGGCGUGCUUAACACAUGCAAGUCGAGCGGAAAGGCCUUUCGGGGUACUCGAGCGGCGAACGGGUGAGUAACACGUGAGUAAUCCGCCCAUCGCUUCAGGAUAGCCAUCGGAAACGGUGAUUAAUACUGGAUAUGACAUUCCUUCGCAUGUUGGGGGUGUGGAAAGUUUUUCGGCGGUGGAUGUGCUCGCGGCCUAUCAGCUUGUUGGUGGGGUAAUGGCCUACCAAGGCUUUGACGGGUAGCCGGCCUGAGAGGGUGA
rnacentral:rRNA from 1 species